UUUAUAAAGAGUUUGAUCCUGGCUCAGGACGAACGCUGGCGGCGCGCCUAACACAUGCAAGUCGAACGAGAGAGAGGGAGCUUGCUUCCUCAAUCGAGUGGCGAACGGGUGAGUAACGCGUGAGGAACCUGCCUCAAAGAGGGGGACAACAGUUGGAAACGACUGCUAAUACCGCAUAAGCCCACGGCUCGGCAUCGAGCAGAGGGAAAAGGAGUGAUCCGCUUUGAGAUGGCCUCGCGUCCGAUUAGCUAGUUGGUGAGGUAACGGCCCACCAAGGCGACGAUCGGUAGCCGGACUGAGAGGUUGAACGGCCACAUUGGGACUGAGACACGGCCCAGACUCC
rnacentral:rRNA from 1 species